ensembl:lncRNA
AGGAGCACUGCAGCCAAGCCCUGCCAUGGGCUGUAUGAAAAGGAACAAGGAUGGGAAAGAGACCGCGUUUCAGCGAGACCUCACAGCGAAUAUUGAGUUGCAGGAUCAUUUGUGUCAGAAGAAUCACCAAGCCUGAUAGCACAGGGAUUUCAUUGUCCCUAAAUCAUCCCAGUGGGUGGAAAGGAUUUGUGACAGUGGAAGCUGAUUCUGAACAGAGUCUGCCAGAGGAUGAGGAGGAAAUACCAACCAAAAGAGCUUUUGUAAACUGAGAAUUUUGAGGGUUCCAGGGAACGUGGGGUGUGAUGAAGGAAACAGCAACAGAAUACAUCAGAGAAAACUUCCUGAACGUGAGAUCUAUGAAAAUGCACUACAGCCUCCAAACAAGAACACUGCAUUGCCUUCAGUGCUAAAAACAGCCUGGAGAAUGUAUGAAGAACUUAUGUUGGAAGGAGAGUUCCUCCAGUGGCUGCCAAUAGCCCACAUCUCCUGCUCUCCACCUUCUGACCCACCGCAGCUGUGGUUUCGAGAGUAAGCCAACCUGGCAGGGGAACGCCGUGCUUGGCAACCUCUCCUUCUUGCCACAUCUCAGCGGGAUUUAUGCAGCACUCUUUGGUUCCUUAUCGCAUUUUGGUGGACGACUCAUUCCUUCCCUUCACCACAAGGUGGUACCAGGAAACACAGAAUCACAGCUCGAAGCCAACAAAUGGCAGGCCCUCUGUGUGCUAUUUCAGCGAGUCGGAGAAGUGCUCCUCCACCACUCUCCCCAGCCAUGCGCCAGCUUCAGAAGAUGCACGUUAGGCCAGCGGUCAUCACCUGAACAGAGCAGUGCAUGAAGCUGGAAGGGAAGCAGCUGCUUACAAGCUCUGGAGAGAUGGCAUGUGCAGCACUCGACAUACUCAUGGUACUUCCUUGAAGAUGAGCCCCUGACCUGGAGCUGAAGCCAUUGGCACCCAAAGAGUUCUGCCCAGAUGUGUGCCCGCCUUCUGCUCAGAGCAGCAGAGCCGAUGAAACACACACUGCACAGCAGCUUGCGAUGCAUGGGAAAGGCUGGACGGGCUGGAGCAGCUCCUCCGAGCUCCUGGUGUACAACAGCACAAAAUGCAAUUGGUCAGAGCGUGAUCAGACUCGCAUAGUUGGAAUACCAAAGGAGCGAGUCACCUUCCACUCUUGCUGUAGCCAGCGUUAGGAAGAGAUGUCCAGGUCUGCAACAGACUGUUUUCUCCUUUUGUUUGGAUGUGAAGGGUUCUGUUCUUCACAGAAGCAGGAACAGACCCCCCACUCAUUGAUUUGCAUCCAGGAAACGGAAGGUAACUGAUAUCAGGGAGACGGACGAGGUGAUUGUAUCCAUGACAACCAGCAGAUACAGCCUUGCUGCCUGGCAGCCCUUCCCUGGUCACCUCCUCUGCCUUCCCAGCUCCAGUGGGUCCCUCUCCUCGAGGCACCUCUUGGUGCAGUUCAGUGUUCCUGAGAAGUAGCUGACAAAUUCCCAAAUGUAGUGUGGCGAGAGCUUAAUCAGUUCUCAUGUCCAUCAGCAGAACGCUUCCCCAAUCUGAGCUGCAUCUGCUUCUGCCAAGGACUCCCUGGCAGCCCCAAAGGUGGCUUCAGGAAAUCCGGUCCAUGGAGGAACAGCAUGACUUGCAGGAGCACUGCACAGAUGCAGGUUGGGCUCAGAACCAGCAGGCAAAAUACAGCAUGCAGCCUGAAAGCAUUUCAGGUAUGCCAACCACCUUAACAAAUGCAGGAAUCAGUGAAUCGAGCAAGGCAGCAGGAUGCUCGCCUCUGCUGGAAGCGCUGGCAGAAGUUAAAUGUGUUGUUCUCUGAGCAGAGCUUCAAUCUGCACAUGUCCUUCUGGGAGGAGAGCUGCCUGCACUGCAGUCCCCGAGGAGUUCCUCACCCCACACCUGCUGGAGUGUCCCUCCUGCAUUCCAGACCUGCCCUGGAGAACGCUGCCACGUGAGGCAGUGCACAGCAGUGAGGAAUGGAAAGAAAUCUGUCACAAAAGGAAAAAGCAAUUCUGCUGCUGAAUCCAGCCAGAGCUCCUUGUUUGCAGGACUCCUGCUGUAUAUCGUCAGUGUGGUGUUUGAACCAUAAUAAGGAAAAAUGUCUCCCUGGGAUCAAAAAAAAAAAGUUGAUUUCUCAUCUCUUCCUCUGCACUGGAAAAACAAAGCAGAAGAGGUGAGGAAAUGAGAGCCUGAACUGAGAGCUGGGCGUUAGAAGACAGGACGUGGAGUUCAAGUUCUGUCCUGAUGAGCUAUUGAAAACAUGACUCAGUUUCCCUAUUAGUGAUGGGGUUAACAACGAGCUGAUGAGUGAAUCUUAAAAAUGCAAAGAAGGUUGCUGUAAACUCUAAUUAAAGGCCCUCUGAGUGUAUACACAAAGCAGAUUACAAGAGUCUGUCUUUGUAAAUUGCAGCAGGCAUUUGGGAUUCGGCUUGUGUGUUUUCAUGCCUGCAAUCUCUUUGCAUCUCCUUAUAUGUGUAAAAGCAGCGUAGCAUGAAGCCCACAGUUAAAGAAAGAUGCUUCCUGGCUCCAGGAGGAACGAAUGGAUACUGUGAGCUGUGGGAGCACCACACAGCCGGGUGGAGAAUCACUGCCACAGCUUUCAGUGUACGCAGUUAAAAUCGGCCUCUGGUUGUGUGGGUAAGGACCAGCCUCACUACUUCUGCUUUGGAAGUGCUUCUUUGGGGAUAAUGGGCUUAACGAACAUUGCCAGCCUCCCUGAAGAGGAGAAUGCUACAAACCAAAAGCCAGCCAAGCUUGAAGAGGCAAAAAGCAGCUACCACUGUAUUUGAGGAGGAUUUAAUUCUUUUAAAACCAAACCAACCCAACAUUUCAGCAUUUGGAUUGUCACUGAGUGUGAUACUGAUUGGCAGGGCUCUGGUCAGCUGGAGGUCUCUGUUUCUCAUAGCAGCAGCCAACAGGGCAGUGCAGAAAUCCUGCUCUGCAGCCUUCUCCAAACAGUGUCAGCACAUAGGUUUUAAUCACAGUGUUCAGCUGUGACCCGAACAGCAGGCAGAGCAUUUCUCAUACCCUGCUUUCAGGUUGGGGGGUGCUUUUAUAGCUGCUCUUUGUCUAGAAAAUAAACUCCGGGGGAGACCACCACCUCGUUUUGCUCACCCA